UACGUAGGGUGCGAGCGUUGUCCGGAAUUAUUGGGCGUAAAGAGCUUGUAGGCGGUUUGUCGCGUCUGCUGUGAAAAUCCGGGGCUCAACCCCGGACUUGCAGUGGGUACGGGCAGGCUAGAGUGUGGUAGGGGAGACUGGAAUUCCUGGUGUAGCGGUGAAAUGCGCAGAUAUCAGGAGGAACACCGGUGGCGAAGGCGGGUCUCUGGGCAGUAACUGACGCUGAGGAGCGAAAGCGUGGGGAGCGAACAGG
rnacentral:rRNA from 1 species